rnacentral:rRNA from 1 species
UGAUGAUCCUGGCUCAGGAUGAACGCUGGCGGCGUGCUUAACACAUGCAAGUCGAACGAACCUUCGGGUGAGUGGCGGACGGGUGAGUAACGCGUGAGAAUCUGCCCUCAGGAGGGGGAUAACGGCUGGAAACGGCCGCUAAUACCCCAUAUGCCGAGAGGUGAAAUGAAUUUCGCCUGAGGAUGAGCUCGCGUCUGAUUAGCUAGUUGGUGGGGUAAGUAGCCCUACCAAGGCUUCGAUCAGUAGCUGGUCUGAGAGGAUGAUCAGCCACACUGGGACUGAGACACGGCCCAGACUCCUACGGGAGGCAGCAGUGGGGAAUUUUCCGCAAUGGGCGAAAGCCUGACGGAGCAACGCCGCGUGAGGGAUGAAGGCCUCUGGGCUGUAAACCUCUUUUCUCAAGGAAGAAGAUAUGACGGUACUUGAGGAAUAAGCCACGGCUAAUUCCGUGCCAGCAGCCGCGGUAAUACGGGAGUGGCAAGCGUUAUCCGGAAUUAUUGGGCGUAAAGCGUCCGCAGGCGGCCUUGAAAGUCUGCUGUUAAAGCGUGGAGCUUAACUCCAUUUCAGCGGUGGAAACUACAAGGCUAGAGUGUGGUAGGGGCAGAGGGAAUUCCCGGUGUAGCGGUGAAAUGCGUAGAUAUCGGGAAGAACACCAGUGGCGAAGGCGCUCUGCUGGGCCAUAACUGACGCUCAUGGACGAAAGCCAGGGGAGCGAAAGGGAUUAGAUACCCCUGUAGUCCUGGCCGUAAACGAUGAACACUAGGUGUCGGGGGAAUCGACCCCUCCGGUGUCGUAGCUAACGCGUUAAGUGUUCCGCCUGGGGAGUACGCACGCAAGUGUGAAACUCAAAGGAAUUGACGGGGGCCCGCACAAGCGGUGGAGUAUGUGGUUUAAUUCGAUGCAACGCGAAGAACCUUACCAGGGUUUGACAUCCUGCGAAUCCCUUGGAAACGAGGGAGUGCCUUCGGGAGCGCAGAGACAGGUGGUGCAUGGCUGUCGUCAGCUCGUGUCGUGAGAUGUUGGGUUAAGUCCCGCAACGAGCGCAACCCACGUCUUUAGUUGCCAGCAUUGAGUUGGGCACUCUAGAGAGACCGCCGGUGAUAAACCGGAGGAAGGUGUGGAUGACGUCAAGUCAUCAUGCCCCUUACAUCCUGGGCUACACACGUACUACAAUGCUACGGACAAAGGGCUGCAAACUCGCGAGAGCUAGCUAAUCCCAUAAACCGUGGCUCAGUUCAGAUCGUAGGCUGCAACUCGCCUACGUGAAGGAGGAAUCGCUAGUAAUCGCAGGUCAGCAUACUGCGGUGAAUACGUUCCCGGGCCUUGUACACACCGCCCGUCACACCAUGGAAGUUGGCCACGCCCGAAGUCGUUACUCCAACCC